rnacentral:rRNA from 1 species
AGUCGAGCGAGAAGUCCCGGCAACGGGAUGAGUACAGCGGCGAACGGGUGAGUAACGCGUAGGUAAUCUGCCCUUCAGCCUGGAAUAACCUGCCGAAAGGUGGGCUAAUACCGGAUGACGUUCCUGCGGGGAUCCUGCGGGAACCAAAGGGGGCGAGCGUAAGCAGCUCUCACUGAAGGAGGAGCCCGCGUCCGAUUAGCUAGUUGGUGGGGUAACGGCCUACCAAGGCGACGAUCGGUAGCCGGCCUGAGAGGGCGACCGGCCACACUGGAACCGGGACACGGUCCAGACUCCUACGGGAGGCAGCAGUGGGGAAUAUUGCGCAAUGGGCGAAAGCCUGACGCAGCGACGCCGCGUGGGCGAUGAAGGCCUUCGGGUCGUAAAGCCCUGUCGGGUGGAACGAAUCUCCUGGCGGCGAAUACCCGCCGGGAUUGACGGUACCACCGAAGGAAGCUCCGGCUAACUACGUGCCAGCAGCCGCGGUAAUACGUAGGGAGCGAGCGUUGUUCGGAUUUACUGGGCGUAAAGCGCGCGUAGGCGGUCUGGUAAGUCGGGUGUGAAAGCCCUCGGCUCAACCGAGGAUCCGCGCCCGAAACUGCUAGACUUGAGUCUAGGAGAGGAGAGCGGAAUUCCCAGUGUAGCGGUGAAAUGCGUAGAUAUUGGGAGGAACACCGGUGGCGAAAGCGGCUCUCUGGACUAGUACUGACGCUGAGGCGCGAAAGCUAGGGGGAGCAAACGG